GUAGAAUAUUUAGGAUCCAAUAUGGACAUCCAGGUCACGCUAUUGGAUAUUGACCGGAGGGUGUCUCGGUCAUGUCUACAUAGUUCUCGAACCCGUAGGGUGUGCACACUUAAGUUUCAGUGACAUUUCGGUAUAGUUGAAUUAUUUAUGUUGGUAAACGAAUGUUGUUCGGAGUCCAGGAUGAGAUUCCGGACGUCACUAUGGGUUCCGGAAUGGUCUGGAGAUGAAAAUUUAUAUAUAGGAAGUAUCCAUUUGGCUUCCGGAAGGAUUUCAGGCAUUACCGGUAAAGUACGAGGGGUGAUGAAUGGGUUCUAGAGUUCCACUGGGAGGGGCCACCCACCCGGGAGGGGCCCAAACAGGCCCAAGG
rnacentral:lncRNA from 1 species